rnacentral:rRNA from 1 species
AGCUCCAAUAGCGUAUAUUAAAGUUGUUGCAGUUAAAAAGCUCGUAGUUGGAUUUCGGGACGGAGCGACCGGUCCGCCGCUGUGCGGUGUGUACUUGGGUUUACGCCUCUGUCCUUCCUUGCAGGGAAGCGCGUUCGGCCUUAGUUGGUCGGCGCGGGGAACUGCAUCGUUUACUGUGAAAAAAUUAGAGUGUUUAAAGCAGGCGUUGAUUGCUGUGAAUACAUUAGCAUGGAAUAAUAAGAUAGGACUUUGGGACUAUUUUGUUGGUUGGAGGCCAAGGUAAUGAUUAAUAGGGAUAGUUGGGGGUAUUCAUAUUUAAUUGUCAGAGGUGAAAUUCUUGGAUUUAUGAAAGAUGAACUUAUGCGAAAGCAUUUACCAAGGAUGUUUUCA